rnacentral:rRNA from 1 species
GAUAAACGCUGGCGGCGUGCCUAACACAUGCAAGUCGAACGAAGUUUUUCCUUCGGGAGACACUUAGUGGCGGACGGGUGCGUAACGCGUGGGUAACCUGCCCUGUACAGGGGGACAACAGCUGGAAACGGCUGCUAAUACCGCAUAAGCCCUUAGCACUGCAUGGUGCAUAGGGAAAAGGAGCAAUCCGGUACAGGAUGGACCCGCGUCUGAUUAGCCAGUUGGCAGGGUAACGGCCUACCAAAGCGACGAUCAGUAGCCGAUCUGAGAGGAUGUACGGCCACAUUGGGACUGAGACACGGCCCAGACUCCUACGGGAGGCAGCAGUGGGGAAUAGUGCACAAUGGAGGAAACUCUGAUGCAGCGACGCCGCGUGAGUGAAGAAGUAUUUCGGUAUGUAAAGCUCUAUCAGCAGGGAAGAAAAUGACGGUACCUGACGAAGAAGCACCGGCUAAAUACGUG